UGGAUGUAGUCUGGAUGUAGUCUGGAUGUAGUCUGGAUGUAGUCUGUUGGCAUGUCAGUUUUUUGCUCGUGCUCCUCUGUGGCUCCCUGGUUUUGAUCCCCAUGUUUUUUGUUGAACUUUUAAAGCCUAACCCGGCAGGCAGAACUGCAAUAGCCCAGAGAUAUCCUGCCUGAAACUGUGUUUCUCCUGGAUCACAGAGCACUGAGAGCUUCAAUGCCACCAUAACCAGCUCUUGACACUUCUUCACUGACCCCCUGGAGGAUUACCAUGCUUUCUACAUGUCAGCAGCUAAUAGGAUGAAUGUGCAUAAUUGAACCCUAUAAGACAAAAAGUCCAUUACACCAAUUAAAAGCCUUCACUACUACAUGCCCUAGCCCAGCCCUGGAAGUGUUGUCAAUCCUGACAGCCUGCAGCUGAGGCUCACUGCCUGUUGGUAAUUAUCCGUCUGUAUUCCUGAGCUUUAUCACCAACAGUUGGCUACCACAGGAUGUGCAGAGAAAAUGAGAAAAAUUAAUUUGAUUCCUCCAUCAUUCCAGCGAACAUCUGUGUACUAACACAACAGUUAUUUACUCGGCCAUUUGUUCCCAUAACCAAGGCACAUAAUGGGUUAAUUUCCAACACACACAUAAUUGUGUUAUACUGCAAACAAAGUGUAGGCCAAAAGAAUAAAACACCACACACAUUCAUCACACUAACACAGUCAGCAGGCUAUGAAUCAGAUCACUACUUAUUUAAAUACAUUGAACACCUGCUUUCAAAGGAAAAGAUAAAGUGAAAUUCACAGUGUGCACUCUGCAGCCAUUUAUUAAACCAUCAGUCUAAGCCCAGAAAAACAACAUUUUAAUUAUAUUUCAUGUUUUGUGUUCUAUGAAAGGAGGCAAUUACAUUUGGGGGAAGUGGUUAGGUGAAAGGAAAAUUACAGGGCCAGUGGAUGCAGAGGGAGGAGGGUCACAAACCAGUUCCACUAAAAACACAAAACUGCUGCAGUCCAGCCUCUGGUAACCGCUGACAUCAUCUGAAUCAGAUCCUGCUGUGUUUGUGGAGGAGCUAAUGUUUAUCCUUUGUGCUUUGGUUGAUUAAACAGGAUCAGUGUUCUGGCUGA